rnacentral:rRNA from 1 species
UAGGGAAUCUUCCACAAUGGACGCAAGUCUGAUGGAGCAACGGCCGCGUGAGUGAAGAAGGUUUUCGGACCGUAAAGCUCUGUUGUUGGUGAAGAAGGAUAGAGGUAGUAACUGGCCUUUAUUUGACGGUAAUCAACCAGAAAGUCACGGCUAACUACGUGCCAGCAGCCGCGGUAAUACGUAGGUGGCAAGCGUUGUCCGGAUUUAUUGGGCGUAAAGCGAGCGCA